CACGUAGGGUGCGAGCGUUGUCCGGAAUUAUUGGGCGUAAAGAGCUCGUAGGCGGCUUGUCGCGUCGGCUGUGAAAACCCGCGGCUCAACUGUGGGCGGGCAGCUGAUACGGGCAGGCUGGAGUCCGGAAGAGGAGAGUGGAAUUCCUGGUGUAGCGGUGAAAUGCGCAGAUAUCAGGAAGAACACCGAUGGCGAAAGCAGCUCUCUGGGACGGUACUGACGCUGAGGCGCGAAAAGCGUGGGGGAGCGAACAGG
rnacentral:rRNA from 1 species